rnacentral:rRNA from 1 species
AUUCCAGCUCCAAUAGCGUAUAUUUAAGUUGUUGCAGUUAAAAAGCUCGUAGUUGGAUUUUGGGUGCGGCAGGCCGGUCCGCCGUUUCGGUGUGCACUGGCAGGCGGCAUCUUUCUGUCGAGGACGCGCUCCUGGUCUUAAUCUGAUCGGGACGCGGAGUCGGCGCAGUUACUUUGAAAAAAUUAGAGUGUUCAAAGCGGGCCUACGCUUGAAUAUAUUAGCAUGGAAUAACACUAUAGGACUCCUGUUCUAUUCUGUUGGUCUUCGGAAUGGGAGUAAUGAUUAAUAGGGAUAGUCGGGGGCAUUCGUAUUCAAACGACAGAGGUGAAAUUCUUGGACCGUUUGAAGACGAACUAAGGCGAAGGCAUUUGCCAAGAAUGUUUUCAUCA